rnacentral:rRNA from 1 species
GUGACUCUGUUCAACGGCCGCGGUAUCCUAACCGUGCGAAGGUAGCGUAAUCACUUGUUCUUUAAAUGAGGACUAGUAUGAAUGGCACCACGAAGGUUAUACUGUCUCCUUUUUCUAAUCAGUGAAACUAAUCUUCCCGUGAAGAAACGGGAAUAAAAAUAUAAGACGAGAAGACCCUAUGGAGCUUUAAACAAAUAUACACCUGCCUCUUUACCAAAAAAUUUCAGAAGACAAGUAGUCACCCAGGCAUUUUGAUAUAGCGUUUUAGGUUGGGGUGACCGCGGAGCAAAAAAUAACCUCCGCAGCGAACGGGAGUAUUCCCUAAACCAAGGGCCACAACCCCAAGUAUUGAUAAAUCAACACUAAUUGACCCA